rnacentral:rRNA from 1 species
AACGAACGCUGGCGGCAGGCUUAACACAUGCAAGUCGAACGCCCCGCAAGGGGAGUGGCAGACGGGUGAGUAACGCGUGGGAACAUACCCUUUCCUGCGGAAUAGCUCUGGGAAACUGGAAUUAAUACCGCAUACGCCCUACGGGGGAAAGAUUUAUCGGGGAAGGAUUGGCCCGCGUUGGAUUAGCUAGUUGGUGGGGUAAAGGCCUACCAAGGCGACGAUCCAUAGCUGGUCUGAGAGGAUGAUCAGCCACAUUGGGACUGAGACACGGCCCAAACUCCUACGGGAGGCAGCAGUGGGGAAUAUUGGACAAUGGGCGCAAGCCUGAUCCAGCCAUGCCGCGUGAGUGAUGAAGGCCUUAGGGUUGUAAAGCUCUUUCACCGAUGAAGAUAGUGACGGUAGUCGGAGAAGAAGCUCCGGCUAACUUCGUGCCAGCCGCCGCGGUAAAAC